AAUGGAGCAGGAGCUGAGGGUGCUCUGGACCUUUGCUCUGCCAAGCUCUCUCAAACCGAGGGCCCAUUGUUGCUGGGCUGUGGAAGCACUCAGGUGAGAGUGAGCUGCAAAAGGACCUGCUGCUGUGUGGCCACUGGAGCACCUGCAAGGAGCACAUGCCUGGUGGCCUCUGGAAAACUUUACUGUUAUCUGUUUGGACAGGUAAUUAGUAACGUGUUUGUUGGAAAGGAAGAGUGGAGGUGCUAUUUACCUUUGUAAUCAAUCUUUGUUGACUUAAUAGAGAUUUCCAAAUGGUACUUUAUUCAUUUUUAACAAGUUUUCUAAUUGCAAAAGUAGCACAUGGGAAAAAUGAAAAAGAGAUCAGAAGGAAAGUAAAAAUCUUUUACAAUCACAGCACACAGAGGCAACAACUCUUAUCCUUUUUGUGGACGACAUCUCAGUCUUUUCUCCCGUGCGUGUAUGUGUGAUUUUAACCAAAUCUGAAUUACACUGUCACUUUUCAAGAGGACUGGGGAUUCUCAUUCCACUUGGUUGACUAGUACUUAAUCAAAUUAAAGUAACUAACAGCUGCCUCUUCUGAGGUGGUAUUUUUUUAAACUUGCUUAAUCAGGUUCAAAGCUGGCGGUGAUUAUUGUGAAACUCGUGGGAUGAAUUUCAGGUAACAGCAAACAGAUGGGGAGAUCAGAGGGGCGGAGAGACGGCCCUUUUUUCUGUUCAUGUGACAUCUUAAUUGAAUAGCUUCUCCCUCUCUGGAGGGCUCUCGUUGUGUGGGGCUCCUGUUGCUUCUGAGAAGGGCAGCCUGGCGAACUCAGCUUGCACGGGCCUUUGUGACUGGCUGGGAUGGGGCAGUGGAGUGGAGGACACUCAGGAGGAGAAUCCCAUGGAUGGGGGGUGCCUGAUGGGCUGCUGUCCAUGGCGUCGCACAGAGUCGGCCAUGACUGAAGCGACUUAGCAGCAGCAG
ensembl:lncRNA